UACGUAGGGGGCAAGCGUUGUCCGGAAUCAUUGGGCGUAAAGCGCUUGUAGGCGGCCUGUCAAGUCGCGUGUGAAAUCCCCUGGCUUAACCAGGGAAGUGCGCGCGAAACUGGCGGGCUUGAGUGCCGGAGAGGGUCGCGGAAUUCCCGGUGUAGAGGUGAAAUUCGUAGAUAUCGGGAGGAACACCAGUGGCGAAGGCGGCGACCUGGACGGACACUGACGCUGAGACGCGAAAGCGUGGGGAGCAAACAGG
rnacentral:rRNA from 1 species